CUCAGCAAGAGGCUGACAUGCCUGGACUUUCUGCCCGGGAGGAGGGCUGAGCUUUUGGGGCCUGCUUCCAUAGGCAUACAGCCCAAACGCGCAGUCACACCAGCUAUGAAACCUCACAUGGGUGGAGGUUUGCAAGGUCAGCUCCACAAUCAUCCAGGUGAGUGUGACUAUGCUGCCUGGAGGAUUUCUUGCCUGGCACUCUCUGCAGCUUCCACCUGGCUCUGAGGUCCAUAUCCUGCCUCCAGCAGUAUCUGCACAAGCCCCUACUUUGGGAGCUGUAUGAAUCUUUUGCCAGCUUUCGGGUCACCUGGAAUGGUCCGGGCAUUCCCAUAUGAGCAGGAAAGAGCUACUCCUUCCAAUGUCAGACUUGCUUUCUCAUCCAGCAGCCCUCCUUCAGAUGCACAGCCUGUCAGCUCCUCAUGACUCUGCUUGAAGCUAUAGUACUGAAAUUGGGACACCARCUGAAUGAUCCUACUGGACCUCCG
rnacentral:lncRNA from 1 species